rnacentral:rRNA from 1 species
GACGAACGCUGGCGGCGUGCUUAACACAUGCAAGUCGAACGGUAAGGCCCUUCGGGGUACACGAGUGGCGAACGGGUGAGUAACACGUGGGUGAUCUGCCCUGCACUUCGGGAUAAGCCUGGGAAACUGGGUCUAAUACCGGAUAGGACCCUGGGAUGCAUGUCCUGGGGUGGAAAGCUUUUGCGGUGUGGGAUGGGCCCGCGGCCUAUCAGCUUGUUGGUGGGGUGAUGGCCUACCAAGGCGACGACGGGUAGCCGGCCUGGGAGGGUGACCGGCCACACUGGGCCUGGGAUACGGCCCAGACGCCUACGGGAGGCAGCAGUGGGGAAUAUUGCACAGGUGGCGCAAGCCUGAUGCAGCGACGCCGCGUGAGGGAUGACGGCCUUCGGGUUGUAAACCUCUUUCAGAACCGACGAUGCGCAAGUGACAGUAGGUGCAGAAGAAGGACCGGCCAACUACGUGCCAGCAGCCGCCGUAA